GACGGAGGGUGCAAGCGUUGUUCGGAAUUACUGGGCGUAAAGCGUACGUAGGCGGCGGAUUAAGUCGAAUGUUAAAGCCUGAGGCUCAACCUCAGAGAUGCACUCGAUACUGGUCUGCUAGAGGGUGAUAGAGGAAAGCGGAAUUCCCAGUGUAGCGGUGAAAUGCGUAGAUAUUGGGAGGAACAUCAGUAGCGAAGGCGGCUUUCUGGGUCACACCUGACGCUGAGGUACGAAAGCGUGGGGAGCAAACAGG
rnacentral:rRNA from 1 species